rnacentral:misc_RNA from 1 species
GGAGGGGAGCCUUUCUCUCUUUUUCAUUUCCCACGUGCAGCCCUGCGUGACACCGCCUCACCGUCCUCUCUUUCUCGACUGUGGAUCUUCUCUUCCUCCACUGGUACAGAAAGGCGGCGAGGGAGGCGUUCGGACCAUUUUUUUGCGUCUAGCUCUGCAAGUGCGCGGCGUGAAAGGCAAGCCUGCGGUACUGAGGGCGCCGUAUGGGAAAGCGGCGGAACUUUUACACCCAGCUCGCCUGUGUCUUCUCAUAUCGACGCCACACCAUCGGCCACGGCCGAAACACGAGCAAAGAAAAACGUGCACUGAGCUCCUUUUCGAGUACCACAAGUCUCUCCUUCGCAUGCACUCGCAGCGUGGCAGUGCCGCCUUUGGCCCCCCUGGCGGCAACAGGAACAAUCCAGCAACCACAAACCCCGCCGUCACCACUCGCACCCGCUCCAUUGGCCGCUCCACCGGCGCUGCACGUGACGGCGUGGCUGGAGGGCCGCGCAGCAGUGUUGGUCGGCUCAGAGCGUCUUCUUCGUCACACACGGCUGCUGUUGCCCGCGGCGGACGACCUCUCGGGCGAGGGCGCGCCCCCACUCAUCCCACCUUGUUCGGCACACGAGGUCGCUCGCCGGCAACGAUGCCUGGUGCCGGUGCGGGGCUGUCCACUGCGCAGGACGCCAUUCAGGCAGAAAUGGACGCGUUAGCCGACGAGUUUUACGGCUCAGUGCCCUCCCGGGCGCCCGAGGAUGGCACUCCUAGCUUGAGGGGGGCAUCGACGCGCACCGUCUCCGCUGACAGCCCGUACUAUCGAGCCGACGCUGGAAAUGGCCUCACGGCAGACACACUGCGUUCAACCACGUCGUGGUACGAAGGACCGGCUGAUCCGGCCGGCCGCACCUUUGAUGCAAGCGACAGCAACCUGCUGUGCAUGGACGUGCUGGUGCCUCGGGCGGCGGCAUCUGGCGCCAUGGGCCGCACUCCCGCUGCCCGCACAUUUGGUGCGGCGCCGCCUUCAGCCUCCUCGCCGCUGUGUGUCGUCGGGUCGGCAGAUCACGGGCUUAAGGUGUUCGAUCUGUGCACGAUGCGGGAACUGAAAACGCUAUACACCAAGACAUGCGGACACACAGAGUGGGUGACGGCGUGCCGCUUCCUGUCGGACCGCCGGGUGAUCUCCGGUGGUAUGGACAGCAAGUUGUGCUUGUGGAAUGACGUCACCCGCGGUGGGCCGGGGCGGUGUGUGGACCUGCUAGGGCAUACGGGCAGCAUUAGUCAAGUUGAGGUGAACGAGUGCCAUGGCCGGUUCAUGGCCAUGAGCUCCAGCUACGAUAGGACGAUACGGGUCUGGGAGCUCGACGGCAUCGCGGGUGGGCGGGAGAUGGGCUGUCUCUCUGGUCACAAAGGACCAGUGACGCAGUUCAGUUGGCUAGAAACGGAGGUACUCUCAGGUGAUCGACAGGGCACUGUGAAGCUGUGGGACGUGGAGACGGCGCAGUGCCACCUAACCGCCUCAUCGAAGCGCGGCCAAAUCGGCUCUUUGGCCCACCUCGUGCACCCCGACGUAGGACACCUCGCCCUCUUCGGCGACCAGGGCGGCGCUCUCACCGUCGUAGAUGCGCGUGGGCCGUCCUCGGCGAAGCCGCUCUUCCAGGAUGUUCUACAUCGAGGAGGGAUGGUCACGUUCAUUCGUGCCCCCUCCCCGACCGCCGUGUCUGCUCCGCUCAUUGUGACGUGCGGCGCCGACAAGCGCAUCAUCGUGCGAGAUGCUCGCCACAAUUUUGCGGAGGUGUGCGCCAUCACGGACCACGACGACUUUGUUUACUCGAUGGAAGUGAUCGGCAACCUACUUCUUUCCGGCGCCGGCAACGGCCGAUUGCUUGUGCAUGACGUGGAGACGGGGGAGCUGCUAUACGAGCUGAAGGCGAACGCCGCGGCAGUGCGCGAAAUGUUCGCGUCGCCGUCGGUGCUCGUCGCUGCCGGGGACGACGGCAAUGCGAGGGUGUUUGAUUUUAUGUAAAGUAGGGAAACCGUCGUCUGCCGCAGCACGUAGAGGGUCCUGCGGGGUGCACAUACUCUUGCAAGGAAGACUUGACCCCAACGAAUGUUCCUGUGUGCGGACGGACGGGUCUGCAAAGGGCUGGUGGUGGGCCGAUAUACAACAUGUAGAGUAGACAGCAACGCAGCGAGAGAAGACAGGAAGCACUACAAGACGACAGCAAAUGAAGAACAGGCUCGUUCACUGCUUGUGCCGAUGGUCUGGCGUGUGCGUGCGGGUGUGAGAGUGUCACAGCCUCUCGCCAGUGGUGGUUUUCUUUUCUGGUGCGCAACC